rnacentral:lncRNA from 11 species
UCUUUCCAUACUGCCUCCUACCUUGUCAAGCACUGUUGUCUUUUCUAACCUCAGUGGAUGUGGGUGCAUGUAUGUUGCUGUUUGGACUUCAGUAUAGAAGUAUGCUUAUGGACUUCAGUAAUACAUCUCAGAUAAAAGAGUACUUUCUCAAACAAAGGAUAAUAAAGCAUACUAAAGACUUCUGGGAAGAAGGGGAAAGUGAACUGUACAUGCAAGCAGGAAGCAAAACAUCCUGAGUUACAUACAUCUAAGAAUUGGAGGUGAAAACAAGAUAGCAGGCAAGCAUCACAGUGUCCGUAAUUGCUCUAUAUACAAGUAUUGAGGCUUUUUCACUUCCAGCAACUUACUGGAUGAGCCUGCUUUGGACAGCGAUGUCAGUUGCUGGAGCAGUGUUCCAGAAGAUAAUGAGUUACUACUCCCACUGUCCCACUCCAUUGUCCAGGCUGGCAGAAGCAGGUGACAGCUGUGGUCAAACAACAUGAAGAGAGUAUGAUGAAAUGAAUAGAUGGUUGGGAACUUUUCUGAAUUCAGGAAUGGGGAUAGGCCCAUGAUCAUGAGAAGAGAAUCAUAGAAUAAAGCAUGAGUAAACUGAAAAAUGGUCCGAAUUUAUUCUGUGAAGUGCCAUGAUGGUACUCUCCCCCCCCCCCCCCCCACUUACACACAACAGUAGUAGUAGUAGCAGCAACAACAACAGGAACCAUCACUUCAUUUGAGCCUUCUUCAGACCAUUCUAGGACCCCAUGAUCAAGGGCCAUGGCAAACUGUAAUUUGGUACACAGUUUAUAAGCUGAUAUCAUUCAGCAGGUUUGCCCCCGGUUUUCCCAAACCUGUCACUAACAUUUCUUGGAUUCCCCAAAAUACUUGUGGAGACAGAGAACUAAACAUUUCACUGUGCUGUUAUGCUUCAGCUGGCACACAUUUCAAUUCAUUUGCAGCCAUCCUCUCCAGCAACAGCAGCAGCAAACCGAGAGACUUUCAUGGCCACCCCUGACUUUGCCUAGUGGUGUGCAGCCCUAGGGAAAGCUAAGGAACAGGGGGAAAGGGUUUCACUUGCCAUCCUACAGACAGUCCCACUGGGGAAGAGAAGGCUGAUAGGAAAGAAGAACAGCAGGGAGAAAGAGAGGGAGAGUCCUCCAGAGAAUGCUCUGCCCUUCUGUAGCAGGCAAACAAGAAUCCACACACAUUCCUCCAAUGAUUCAUACGACAAUUGAAACCUUUUUGGUUUACAUCUUUUUGGAAAAUAAAUAAACAAAUAGACAGAGC